rnacentral:lncRNA from 1 species
CACCAGUGACGCCUAGCAGCAUGUAGUGGCAAUCCAGUCAGAAGUGAAUAUCGGACUGAACCUCUAGGUGCAGUUACCGUACAAUACAAUCCUUCUAUCGCAUAGUUCCAACUGAGUGGAGGUCAUGGAAUAUUCGUCAAACCCCAUCACCCGUCAUAUGACAAAUUUGAUCAGACAGAAGCUCUCAUGGUUACUCUUGGAAACAUCUUUCCAUACACCAUAUUACCCCGGCCGAGGAUUUCUGAGCUUUGCCUUACAAAUAGCAUAGAACUAAUUAUCUCUCUACCGAGAGCGAUAGAUCCCCUAUAAACACAGACCCAUUCCUGAUAUGAACCGACUGCAGCCAACAUAUACUACUAAGACCCAUGGCUAGGAUCAGAGUUUGUUGCAUAGUCAAACUACAGUAGCCUCAUAUUGAAUGACCGUGGUGUCGCAGGUCUAAGGAUCAGUUGUACCACUGCAACAUCGAACCAGUUACUGACGAAUGAGUAGACAUCCAUGCAACUGCUCGUAGUUGGUCACGCUCAGUACCGUUGUUCUCCAACAACCACCUGCAUGUUCGCUCCAGUGUCCCCACACUGAUGACUCGAGAUUCGUCAUCCCAAAAGGAAAGCGGCACACACAUCAAUCUUACCGGAUCUAUCAUCGUCCCCAUGAUGAUCCUCCGAUUGAGAGCAUUUAUGAAUUAAUCACCAAUAAUAUGUAUCUCAAAUUCUCAACUCUUGAGAAUACAUAUUAUCAUCUUAUUAAUUCAAAGGACGAUUCAUGGACACAUUUAACAUGAAUGGAAUAAAAAGCCCAAUUAUAUAAAUAAUAAAGAUUAAGUACAAAUAUAUGUCCCAUAGAAAAUAAAAUGCGUCAGCCUGAUAGGCUUCUACGGCAUACAACUAACAAUCUCCCACUUGCACUAAAGCCAAUCAGCCAUGUAUCUAAUGCCCAUCUUCUCAAGAUGAUUCUCAAGUUUCUGCUGAGUCGAUGCCUUAGUUAGUGGGUCCGCCACAUUAUCCGCGGAGGCAACAUUCUGUACUAGUCUCUUGUUUGGAACUUUUCCAAAUUAUUGACCCACCAUUGCAAAUAAACAGAUUCCCAGACGUAGACUUUCUAUCGUCUAUAUCAGACAUAAAGUCUGAAUCUGCAUAGCCAUUAAUUCUGAGUUCUCCUCAUCCAAAAACCAAGGACACAUCCUUUGUUUUUCUCAAGUACUUAAGGAUAUUCUUUACCGCUACCCAAUGUUCCUGUCCUGGGUUCGACUGAUAUCGGCUUGUGACACUCACAGCCUGUGCUAUAUCAGGUCGAGUACAUAGCAUCGCAUACAUUAAGCUCCCUAUUGCUGAAGCAUAAGGGAUCCUGCUCAUGUGACUUCUCUCUUUAGAUGUCUUAGGAGACAUAGUCUUAGAGAGGUGAAUUCCAUGUCUUAAAGGUACCAUACCCCUUUUGGAAUUCUCCAUGCUGAACCUUUUCAACACUUCAUCUAUGUACAUAGCUUGCGAUAAACCAAGCAACUUCUUAGGUCUAUCCCUAUAGACCUUUAUCCCUGGGAUAUAAGAUGCUUCUCCAAGGUCUUUCAUAGAAAACUCUUUAGAUAACCAUAACUUGACCGAUGUUAGCAUAGGAAUGUCAUUCCCAAUCAGGAGUAUGUCGUACAGUACGAGGAAAGUAACAGCACUCCCACUAAUCUUUUUAUAUACACACGCCUCUUCCUCAUUUCUGAUGAAAUUGAACGAUUCAAUUGCAUCAUUGAAACGAGUGUUCCAACUCCGAGAAGCUUGCUUCAAUCCAUAAAUGGAUCGUUGAAGCUUGCACACCUUAUGACUCUCAUCUUUGGAAGUGAAACCCAAAGGCUGCUCCAUAUAGAUAUCUUCUUCAAGAUAUCCAUUUAGGAAGGCAGUUUUCACAUCCAUUUGCCAGAUCUCAUAGUCAUAGUGUGCAGCAAUAGCAAGGAGAGUUCUGAUAGACUUAAGCAUAACUACGGGUGAAAAGGUAUCCUGAUAGUCAAUGCCUUCGCGUUGACUAUAACCUUUUGCUACUAGCCUAGCUUUAUAGGUCUCUACCUUUCCAUCAGAACCAAUCUUUCUCUUAAAGAUCCAUUUACAUCCAAUGAGUACAAUACCCUCUGGUGGAUCAACCAAAGUCCAUACUUGAUUGGAGUACAUUGAGUCCAUUUCGGACUUCAUAGCUUCUAACCAUUUAUCGGAGUCGAUGUCUGACAUCGCCUCGCUAUAAGUCUUAGGAUCAUCUCUAUGGUCCUUAUCUCCCAUUAGGAACAUUUCCUCCAUCUCCUCUAUAAAUAAUCCCAUGUAUCUAUCAGGACGACGGGAGACCCUACUAGACUUGCGAGGUGGCGGUGUAACUUCAAGUGUCAUAGAGUUAUCAGGGAGGGCUCUUGGAAUAUUUGAUUCUAAAGAGACUUUCUCCUCUAGUUCUAUUUUUCUCCCACUGCCUCCAGCCAAAAUAAAUUCACUUUCAAGAAAGAAGGCAUGACGGCUCACAAUCACAUUAUGGCCUUCUGGGAGAUAAAAAUAGUACCCAAGUGAUUCUUUGGGAUACCCAAUGAAUCUACCCUUGACUGAUCUGCUUUCCAACUUGUCCGUUUUUAAUUUCUUAAUAUAAGCUGGACAUCCCCAAGUUUUAAUAUGAGUAAAACUUGGCUUCCUACCGUGCCACAUCUCAUAUGGUGUGGUCGGAACAGAUUUGGAAGGCACUUUGUUUAGAAUAUAAAUAGCCGUAAGAAGUGCGUAACCCCAAAACGAUAUAGGUAAAUCUGUAAAGCUCAUCAUGGAUCGAACCAUAUCUAAUAAAGUUCGAUUUCUCCGUUCAGACACCCCAUUCAAUUCUGGUGUUCCAGGAGGAGUCCAUUGAGAGACAAUACCAUUAUCCUUGAGAUAGGUUAGGAAAUCCGUACUAAGGUAUUCCCCUCCUCGAUCUGAUCGAAGAGCCUUAAUUGGUUUUUCCAUUUGCUUUUCUACUUCUUGUCUAAACUCUUUAAACUUUUCAAAAGCUUCAGACUUGUGUUUAAUUAAGUACACGUACCCAUACCGUGAAUAAUCAUCAGUAAAGGUAAUGAAGUAGAGAUAGCCACCCCAAGCAGACACAUCGAAUGGUCCACAUACAUCAGUAUGUAUUAGGGCGAGUACUUCAGUAGCUCUCUCUCCUUGUCCAACAAAAGAAGACUUAGUCAUUUUUCCUUGAAGACAUGAUUCACAAGCUGGGUAUGGUUCAGAGGGUAAGGACCCUAAGACACCAUUCUUAGCCAACUUGUUAAUCCUAUCCUCUCCAAUGUGACCAAGUCUAAGAUGCCACAAAUACGUUUUAUUUACCUCCUCUCUUGGUCUUUUGAAACCAAUGAUAUUCUCAUUCAUGCCAUUAUCAAUUGUAUUAACACUAACAUCCAUAUGUAAGUGAUAGAGAUUGUCAAUUAAAGAACCAUAACCGAUCAAAUUAUUUCUCAAAUAAAUUGAACAAACGUUUGAUUCAAAAAUAAACUUAUAACCAUCCAUUACCAAACGUGAAAUAGAAAUAAGGUUUCUAGUCGCACUAGGAACAUAAAGACAAUCUCUAAGUUCUAAAACUACUCCUGUCGGUAGACAUAAAGGAUAAGUCCCCACGGCAACAGCAGCAACUCUUGCCCCGUUUUCAACGCGUAGGGUAAGCUCUCCAUCCCUAAGUCUUCUACUUUGUUUUAUCCCCUGCAUUGAAAUACAUAAAUGCGAGGUGCAUCCACAGUCAAUGACCCAUGUAAAAGUAGAACAAACCGAUAAGUUAGUAGUUUCAAUGACAUGAAUUUCGGACAUACCUUCAAAAGUCUUGUCCUUUACCUUGUCUUUGAGGCUAGCUAAAUAAUCCGGGCAAUUCCUUUUCCAGUGGCCAUCCUUUUGACAGUGGAAACAAGUUCCUUUAGCGGCCUUCUUUUUAGGAAUUACCUUAGCAGGUUCAGUCUUUGGCUUUUUCGCAGGCUUCUUCUUUCUCCAUUUAGACUUUCUUUUGGAGGAAGUGCGUUAAAUAGCCAAAACUGACCCCUUAUUGACUUUUAUCAUUCCUUCAGCUGUGACCAACAUAUUCAACAGCUCGGCGAGAGUGCAAGUAAUUUUAUUCAUUUGAAAAUUUAAGGUGAACUGAGAAAAUGAAUCUGGUAAGGAUUGUAAGAUCAAAUCUGUUUGGAGUUCUGCGUCCAUAGUCAUUCCGAGCUUCUCAAGCUCCUCAAUGUCUUUAAUCAUUGCCAAGCAAUGAUUAUUGACUGACUGACCAUCAGACAUCUUAGCUCUGAACAGUCGCUUUGACACCUCGUAGCGGGCUGUUCGACUUUGCUCAUCAUACAACUCCUUGAGAUGGAGCAAAAUAUCAGCAGCACUCUCCAUGUGCUCAUGCUGGCGUUGCAACUCAUUGCUCAUAGACGCAAGCAUGUAGCAUUUUACCUUCAUAUCGUCAUCAGUCCAUUUAUUUCUUGCAGCUAUUUGUUGAGCCGUCGAAUUUUCGAGCACCGCUGGAGCCUCCGUGUCCAACACAUAGGCUAAUUUUUCAGAAUUGAGAACAAUUCUCAAAUUCCUUAGCCAAUCGGUAAAAUUCGGUCCAGUUAAGCGAUUAGUAUCAAGUAUUUUGGCAAGUGGGUUAGAUACAGCCAUUUUCUGCAAAAGGUUAAUAUUCUAAUUAGUUGUGUACUUAAUCAUAAUCUAUUUGAUUAGGGUCUUUAAAUCUAAAUGGUGUCUCCCACUAAUUUUGGCGAAUCUCCACACUCCCCGAGCGGAGAAAACGGAAACUUUACUUAAAAGUUUCUAGUGGGUAUUGCGGUCCCAUCUGUUUACACACCACCUCAUCCUGACAGAUUCUUGGCAAUGAGCAAACAAAUAAGUGAACAACUCUUGUUCAAUGCUUCUCAAGCAAAUUGCAAUCUAAUCCUUGGCCUCCAUAAGAUAUAGGCCUCAUCCUGACAGAUUCUUGGCUUUAUCUCGUGGUUAAGUUAGACCCACCGUUCAUCGUGCAAAUAAGAAUGUCAUUGAAUCCUCAUUCUGACAGAUUCUUGGAUUCAACCCCUUUCUUACCGCACAGCAUCUCAUGCCAAUAGAAUGGUUGCGGCUCCCUAAUGCAACUGACCCCCGUAUCCGGGUGCAUCAAUCAACACUAAAGAGACGCCCACACCCUACAACGGUGGAAGGCCACUAAUGGGUUCAUAACACCAUUAACUUAAUAUUUUAUUUAGGGAGAUUAGUUGUCUCAUCAGUUUUAAUUUAUUAUUAAUUUACAUCUCAUGCAAACCAUCACAUCACAUGCAUACAUACAUCGCAUAUAUAAAAAUAACUACCGGUGAUGAUCAUGGAUUUUAUCUUGAUUCGGGCCUGAGCCACUAGGCCGGAAUCGGGUCAUAAGGGUAUUACACACAAGAAAACCUUUUCUUAUUUUGCGUCUCGAUCGGAUUUGAGUUGAUCAACUCUUGUCUUCUCCCUUGAUCAGCAUCUGGUCCAAACUUGAUCCGCAUCGCAUCAACUCUUGAAUACAACGAAUCCCUCUGGAACCUAAACUACCCUUUUGCCUUCUUAAUUUUACAACAAUAACUUUACAACCCAUAAAAUUAAUGAGACACGCAGGUCUCCAAAUUACAUAAUUUAAUUGGCACGCGCAGGCACCAAAAAAAAAUAUAAUCUAAUACUGGAUCCUUAUCAAAUCACAAAAAUUCACAUCAUCACAUGAUACAUGCACAUCACAAGGUCGCUAUCCAUGAUCAUCACCUCAUAUACAUCACAUGCAUAUAAUAUUAAAUUCUCUAAUUCGAAUUCUAGUUAAUUGGGAUUUUAUUUAAAAAAAAUAUUUAAUUCGUUCCACGCUGCAUGUUCAUGAUGCCCACGGCAUGUAAUGCAAGAGGUCAAUUAAUUAGCAUGCCAUACUCAAAGAUAAAUUAUAGGUAUCAAUAUGGCCAUGCAAAUUUAAUUAAUAUCUCAUGCCAUCCUUGUAUCAUGACUUCAUUAAUUAGCAUUAGCAAACAUUGAGAAGCAUGACGUCUAAAGAAUUCAUGCACGUGAAGCCAUGAAGGCAAAACCGAGUCAACAUAUAAUUAAAUGGCCAUGCCAAGACCGCAUGCUGCAUGCACUACGUGCACAUCACACGCGAUGCAAGAACGUCGGCUAACAGUUGCGCGUGCAUCGUUGUAGUUACCGAUAACAACAACGAUUUCCAUGAAUAUAAUUUUAUUACGAUCUUAUCAUUGAUUCGAAACAAUCUAGUAUUGUUCGAAAAAUCGAUCUUCAUCGUUUUUGAUCGAUCGUUCCAAAAACCCCAAUUAACAUCGAAAAGAGAUUAGAUCUAAAGCAAACGACGAGGGUGGCUCUGAUACCACUGUAAGAAAAUCAUGUGUACGCAGCGGAAGAAAAUAACACAAUUAAAAAUUUUCUUGAAAACCAAAGAUCACCUCGUGUUUCGUUUUAGAUCAUUAAUAGUAGAUCUAAUUGAUCUAAUCAAAUAGGAUCUAUAUUAUUUUAUUUUACCUCGCGCGGGUCGAGAUCACCGCGAAGUCGACAAUCAUUGGUAAAAUUUGUUCGUCCUCGGUUAGCCGCGCACGCGCCCGGCCUCUACUCGCGUCCACACGAAAUCACGCCCUUGAUCGAAUUAGACGACCGCUUCAAUCCGUGAUCCGAUCACGAAUUAACUCUUGCGUCGACUUGAGGAAGAUAAAUCGAUCUUCUAGAUGUGCUAGCAACUUUUGAAGAUCGAAACCGAUGGAUUAAUUAUGGAGAACUUGAGGAAGAAAGAGGAUUGACGGCUAGGGUUUUCUAUUUCUCUUGUAUUAAUUUUCUAUAUAUUUUUAAUAUGUCAUAUGACAUAUAUUUAUAAUGAGAAAACCCUAACGUAAUCCUAAUCGAAAUCCUAUUCCGAUUAGAUUAUCCAUUAACCCAUAAGUUGGUUAUGAUAUUAACCGAAUUUUGAAUCCUAAUUCUAAUUCGAUUCGUGUGUAACAUUUACACAUAAGUCCUCAUAUUAUUUACUAACGAUAAGUAAAUACACCAUGCAGCUUUUACACAUAAAUACCUCUAAUUUACAACAAUUGCAAAUUAGUCCUUUUACUAAUAAAUUAGUAAAAUUUAGUAUUUAACUAUAUUGUAAUUAUAAUUAAUCCAUCCGAUAAACUUCUUUUAUCGUAUCUUAAAUAUCGAUCAUGCGCAAUUUCUUAUGUGUGUGACCUAAUAGGUUCAAUUCUGUCUGGUAGUGAGAUAUGAUGCGAUCUCCAUCUACAUCAUCAUCGAAACUCCUUUCGAUGGCUCAAACUCUUUUGACUCUACCCUAAUAGAAUAAUUAAUUGUUAAUAAUUAUUUUUAUUGGUUCCCACAAUCCACCAGUGACGCCUAGCAGCAUGUAGUGGCAAUCCAGUCAGAAGUGAAUAUCGGACUGAACCUCUAGGUGCAGUUACCGUACAAUACAAUCCUUCUAUCGCAUAGUUCCAACUGAGUGGAGGUCAUGGAAUAUUCGUCAAACCCCAUCACCCGUCAUAUGACAAAUUUGAUCAGACAGAAGCUCUUAUGGUUACUCUUGGAAACAUCUUUCCAUACACCAUAUUACCCCGGCCGAGGAUUUCUGAGCUUUGCCGUACAAAUAGCAUAGAACUAAUUAUCUCUCUACCGAGAGCGAUAGAUCCCCUAUAAACACACACCCAUUCCUGAUAUGAACCGACUGCAGCCAACAUAUACUACUAAGACCCAUGGCUAGGAUCAGAGUUUGUUGCAUAGUCAAACUACAGUAGCCUCAUAUUGAAUGGCCGUGGUGUCGCAGGUCUAAGGAUCAGUUGUACCACUGCAACAUCGAACCAGUUACUGACGAAUGAGUAGACAUCCAUGUAACUGUUCGUAGUUGGUCACGCUCAGUACCCUUGUUCUCCAACAACCACCUGCAUGUCCGCUCCAGUGUCCCCACACUGAUGACUUGAGAUUCGUCAUCCCAAAAGGGAAGCGGCACACACAUCAAUCUUACCGGAUCAAUCAUCGUCCCCAUGAUGAUCCUCCGAUUGAGAGCAUUUAUGAAUUAAUCACCAAUAAUAUGUGUCUCAAAUUCACAACUCUUGAGAAUACAUAUUAUCAUCUUAUUAAUUCAAAGGACGAUUCAUGGACACAUUUAACAUGAAUGGAAUAAAAAGCCCAAUUAUAUAAAUAAUAAAGAUUAAGU